UGGCCACCAACCUAGAAAUUACUUACCAAGUCUGAGGAUCGCUUGAAACUGAAUGCUGGCCACUAGCAAUGGCUAUGAAAUUCUUGCUGACAAUCACUUUUGGGUUGUACUCAAAGAUUUGUAAAUCAAGCCACACAAUAUUCAUGAUCUAAACAAACUUAGAGUCUUCUAUGUACCCUCACCCCCAUCCCUGCUUCUUGCACGUAUUGUAUAAUAUAAUAUGUUAUUACAAGCUCCAUACAAUCAGUAGUCAGAGUAGCUAAAUUAGUUAUCUGUUUCCAUCUUUUGAGCUUAACAGACAGUUUAGUUCCGUUUAGUCAUUUUGUUAGUAAAUUAUGGCUUUAUGUUCUCCAGGAUUUGCAAGCAUUGAAAAUAUCUGAAGCUGGAGCAAACUCUCAAGCUAACUCCCAACUACCUGUUGAUGGUUUGUCAUAAUAUCAUUAACAUUUGAAGACAAUCUGAACAGUUGUUGUAACAAUAAGAUGCUAUGAUCAAGCAUCUGGAAGCAACUGUAUCUGCUACCAGUUUGGAUAUGGAGAGCUUAAACUCAAAGAUGGAAGAGUUGCAUGUUGGUUUGAAAUUUAAGGAGGACGGCAUUCAACGUUUGAGAAUCUCAUAAGAGAUCUUGGAGAAAGAAAAGAGUGAUCUUCUAUCUAGCAACAAGAGAUUUUCUAGCAAAUAGAUUCCCCCUAGAAAAAAUUUUGAUUUCUGGGUUAUUUUCGAACCUAUUACAGCUAUGGAGAAGCCUAUGAUAAGAUUCAACGUCAACCAAGUGAGCAAUUACAGCUAUGGAGAAGCUGAGGCAUUGACUGAUGAUAUUGAAGAAGAGAGUUAGGUUUUUGGGGAGGUCUUGAGCAACAAAAAGAUUAUUGAUAAUUGUCAAGAUGAGAACUUUGAUAAAUGGGAGAUUAAGCAGAAAUUCCCUGUUAUAUUCUACAUUUUGCUUGCUGGCAUUAGAAAUUACUGUUUGGUGUGAUGGAAUGGAAUACCAGUAGAAAUAUUCCCGUGGAAAGCCUGUUUCAACUUUAAUGUGUCAUGAGCUUCCUGAUGCAUCAAAAGACCACUAAGGGGCACACAUUAAGUUUUGGCCUGACAAAACAAUAUUCAUUACUGCAAUUCAGUUUGAUUACAGCACUAUAGCUGGACAGAUUACGGAGCUGGCAUUUUUAAUCCCUGAGGUACAGUCAUUACCAUAUGCUUAUUGUUCUGUGACAUCUUUAAACCUUCUAAGUUGUUAUUCUAAUUUUUUUUCUUAAACUUCUCAUUUAUUUUUCAAAUGUAGAUUUUUUAAAAUUUUUAAAUUUUUUAAUCUGGUAACUUGCUGCAUCUUUUGCAAUGGAGAAAUACCUUCUGUUGAUGAAGCAACUUUAGACCAUCAAAGAUU